CGAGGAAUCUUCCACAAUGGGCGAAAGCCUGAUGGAGCAACGCCGCGUGAAGGAUGAAGGCCCUAGGGUCGUAAACUUCUUUUAUAAGUGAAGAAUGUGACGGUAACUUAUGAAUAAGCACCGGCUAACUACGUGCCAGCAGCCGCGGUCAUACGUAGGGUGCAAGCAUUAUCCGGAGUGACUGGGCGUAAAGAGUUGCGUAGGCGGUUAGUAAAGUGAAUAGUGAAACCUGGUGGCUCAACCAUACAGA
rnacentral:rRNA from 1 species